AAUGAGUAUGUUAUUCAAGGUGCCAAAUGGCUUAAAAGGGAAUGUGGUGAAAAUCCACAGCAGCCCCCGCUACUGUAAUAAUGACGAAAACUUAGAGCUUUGGAGAGCUUUAACUCCACUGGUAAAAUGGGAAGGAGAAGUGAGUAGGAUGAUUUUAAGUCAGGAGACCUGCCUAAAAAUACAUGAUCUUU
rnacentral:ncRNA from 14 species